rnacentral:ncRNA from 1 species
UAUGGGGAUUCGCGAACUCCCCACGAGGCGCCAGCUAAAGAUCGCGUUCCAAUACAAACCUGAAAAGGAGGAACGC